UACGUAGGGGGCUAGCGUUGUCCGGAAUCAUUGGGCGUAAAGCGCGUGUAGGCGGCCCGGUAAGUCCGCUGUGAAAGUCGGGGGCUCAACCCUCGAAAGCCGGUGGAUACUGUCGGGCUCGAGUGCGGAAGAGGCGAGUGGAAUUCCUGGUGUAGCGGUGAAAUGCGCAGAUAUCAGGAGGAACACCGAUUGCGAAGGCAGCUCGCUGGGACGUUACUGACGCUGAGACGCGAAAGCGUGGGGAGCGAACCGG
rnacentral:rRNA from 1 species